GACGAACGCUGGCGGCGUGCUUAACACAUGCAAGUCGAACGGAAAGGCCCUGCUUUUGUGGGGUGCUCGAGUGGCGAACGGGUGAGUAACACGUGAGUAACCUGCCCUUGACUUUGGGAUAACUUCAGGAAACUGGGUCUAAUACCGGAUAGGAUCUCCUGCUGCAUGGUGUGGGUUGGAAAGUUUCGGCGGUUGGGGAUGGACUCGCGGCUUAUCAGCUUGUUGGUGGGGUAGUGGCUUACCAAGGCUUUGACGGGUAGCCGGCCUGAGAGGGUGACCGGCCACAUUGGGACUGAGAUACGGCCCAGACUCCUACGGGAGGCAGCAGUGGGGAAUAUUGCACAAUGGGCGGAAGCCUGAUGCAGCAACGCCGCGUGCGGGAUGACGGCCUUCGGGUUGUAAACCGCUUUCGCCUGUGACGAAGCGUGAGUGACGGUAAUGGGUAAAGAAGCACCGGCUAACUACGUG
rnacentral:rRNA from 1 species